UMRCCUYUAGCACUAAGUAUUAAAGGUGACGCCUGCCCAGUGAUUAAUUAAACGGCCGCGGGAUCUUACACCGUGCAAAGGUAGCAUAAUCAUUUGUCCCCUAAAUAGUGACUAGUAUGAACGGCCUAAUGAAGAUUUAACUGUCUCUUAUAACUAAUCUAUGAAACUAAUCUCUCAGUACAAAAACUGAAAUACUAACAUAAGACGAAAAGACCCUGUGGAACUUUAAGCACAACCCAACAACAAUGGCCCCAUUGCUUUUAGUUGGGGCAACUUUGGAAUAAAACAAAACUUCCAAUAUUUUACAAGGUACACACACCUAUUUUUAUCUAUCUGACCCAGUAAUACUGAUUAAAGAACCAAGCUACCCCAGGGAUAACAGCGCCAUCCCCUCCAAGAGCCCAAAUCGACGAGCGGGGUUUACGACCUCGAUGUUGGAUCAGGGCCCCCAAACAGUGCAACCGCUGUUAAAGGUUUGUUUGUUCAACAAUUAAUAGC
rnacentral:rRNA from 1 species